AUUGAACGCUGGCGGCAGGCCUAACACAUGCAAGUCGAGCGGAUGAGGGAAGCUUGCUUCCUGAUUUAGCGGCGGACGGGUGAGUAAUGCCUAGGAAUCUGCCUAUUAGUGGGGGAUAACGUUCCGAAAGGAACGCUAAUACCGCAUACGUCCUACGGGAGAAAGUGGGGGAUCUUCGGACCUCACGCUAAUAGAUGAGCCUAGGUCGGAUUAGCUAGUUGGUGGGGUAAUGGCUCACCAAGGCGACGAUCCGUAACUGGACUGAGAGGAUGAUCAGUCACACUGGAACUGAGACACGGUCCAGACUCCUACGGGAGGCAGCAGUGGGGAAUAUUGGACAAUGGGCGAAAGCCUGAUCCAGCCAUGCCGCGUGUGUGAAGAAGGUCUUCGGAUUGUAAAGCACUUUAAGUCGGGAGGAAGGGCUGUAGGUUAAUACCCUGCAGUUUUGACGUUACCGACAGAAUAAGCACCGGCUAACUUCGUGCCAGCCGCCGCCGUAAGAC
rnacentral:rRNA from 1 species